CCAGCUGCCUCAGUUGCUCUGUAGAAAACGCUGCCCUCUUGACACCCGUGAGACACCGCCUCCGCGCGCCAGGCUCGCGGCGCACUGGCGCCACCGUGCGGCCUCUUCAUGCCAUUGCCCUGAGGCCGCUGUGGCGCCUGGGUGAACCUGUUCAAACCCUAAGGUCACAGACAGAGGUGCUGGAGCCCCGACCAAAGAGCUUCCUCUCUGGUCCAACAUACCGUCCAAACACCUGCUUUCCCGACGGACGGGAAACCGGCUCGUGUCGGCUUUCCAGCGGCAGGACGCAAAAGUCGGCUGUGUGUUUCCAAGCCUUCAUGUCCUGUGGCUCUCUUCUCGCUGCCCUGCAAGCCUCCCUCCCCCUGCCCUGCUCCCACAGUGCCUGCCCCCACUGGAUCCCCUACUCCUGCUUCCUGCUGAACCCCUAAUGGCCCCUUCUUCUAAAACUGCGCGCACACACCCUCCUGCUCUUUUCUAGCUUCAUUCUGCUCCCUAGUACUUAUGGCUGAUGCUUCCCGUCGCCUGCUUCCACUAGGCAAGAUCAAGGGCUCUCUCCACGGUUAAUGUUAGCGUUUCCAAAGGCACCAGCUCAUGAUCACAUAUUCUCGGGGCAGUCUCUGCAAGAGCACACAAAGACAUCUUCCACAAGUCUACAUCUGUGUUUAGGAUUGAUAACCAGCAAGCUGGAACACCCUGUUUCACAAAGGUAUGUUGUUGGAAAUGGAAGAAGGGUAACAGUCUCAGACAGAAAGGCUAUGAACCAACACUUGAUCCAGAAUUGUGUAACUGACAUUAUAGAGAAGUCAGUUCUUGCUGCACAGCUGUUAAUAAGUUCAAUGAACUCUGGAGCCACCUCGGGAACAUCUUCAAUGUCAACUGUGAAUGGGCUUCUGGCACGUGCAAAUGGGUGUCAGGGAGAUUUGGAAAAUACAAUGAAUUGUCAUCCGCAA